GGAGGGACGGCAAUCAGGCGGCCUCUCGGCCGAUCGCCGGCCAGCUGUCACGGCACCUCAGCCGCCGGGUGCGCCUCACACCUUUCCCCGCUUCCCUGUCGCUCCGGCGACCUGCCCAUGGUGCCUUACGCCGCACCACCCGCAACAUUAACCGGCUGAAAGGGCGGCUUGAGAGCGAUACGCCGAGCCCACGGCGAAGUGCACGGAGCCCAGCGCUGGCGUGUAUUUAACCUCCAAACGGGCACCGUCUGCUACACCUUUACCUGGUUCCGCAGGUCUCGGAGGUGAGCCAUCCUGUCGGCAGUCUGCUCGGAGGUGAGGGCAGCCGCAGCCCUUUCCGCCUGGAAAAGGCGAUUGUCUGUUAUUUCUUCAGUGUUUUUUUUCUUCCUCCUCUUCUGAGACCCUCUCUAAACAGCCUCCGAUCUGUCACUCCACGGCGUUUUCGGGCUCGGAUCAGCCACUCGCGGAGCCCGCGGCCAGGCCAGAGAUGUUAGGUAUUGUUCAACUCCAUCUAUCUGCAAGGCAGAUGAAGAAGGAAUUUCGACUUUGCGUAUUAUUUUUUAAUUCCGAUCAAAGGAGAGUCCGCCUGGUCUUCAUUUACUGCUUGAAGAGGGACAAAAUAA